rnacentral:misc_RNA from 1 species
AAGUCGUAACAAGGUUUCCGUAGGUGAACCUGCGGAAGGAUCAUUACAGAGAUCGGGUCCCUUCCCGGGCCCGGACCUCCCACCCCGUGUGUCACGUCUCUCGUGAGGUUGCUUCGGCACCGUCGUCCUCGACGACCGGCCGAGGACCCUGUUCAACCCGUGUUGUAAUCGUGUUGUCCGAGCCUAAUUUUAAUCGUCAAAACUUUCAACAACGGAUCUCUUGGUUCUG